GUCCACGCCCUAAACGAUGGCAACUAGUUGUUGGGGAGCAAUCCCUUAGUAACGCAGCUAACGCGUGAAGUUGCCAGCCUGGGGAGGUACGGUCGCAAGAUUAAAACUCAAAGGAAAUUGACGGGGGCCCGGCACAAGCGGUGGAUGAUGUGGAUUAAUUCGAUGCAACGCGAAAACCUUACCUACCCUUGACAUGGCAGGAACCCCGAUGAGAGUUGGGGGUGCUCGAAAGAGAACCUGCACACAGGUGCUGCAUGGCUGUCGU
rnacentral:rRNA from 1 species